CUACGGAUCCGUGACGACCUCAGGUGCCAGUUUUAGCACAAAGUGCGACUUUACAAUGAGCCGAUUCGCAGUUCUUUCUAUUGUUUUUAUUGUGGUCGCCUUCAUUGUUACAACGAAGGGCCUGCCGCCGAAAGUGAAAGCUGAUCGUGUUACCUGUGAUCAAAAUAUGGGCUGCACCUGCGUCGGCAAAGUGUCAUCCGGCUGCUAUGACCCAUGCAUAUGUAGCUGUGAGUACACCAAUCAAAAAUACGGCGUGUGCAUUUUGCGCAGGCGACGUCGACAACGACUUCAUUAACUCUUCUUGAAAACGAAAUAAAUGACAAGUUUUGAGUAGAGAAAUAAACAAUCUCUAAAUAAUCGGA
rnacentral:lncRNA from 1 species